rnacentral:rRNA from 1 species
CUCCACUGGUUCAACUAUGCGACGUGGGCAAGGUUGCAGUCGAGCAGUUGAGUUGAAGUGGAGCACUAUAUAAUGAGUGGUGCCAACGGUAACGUGGCGAAGGUUCAGGAGGGUCGAACUGUUUGAGGUGAUCGUGAAAACGACGGUGUCGGCUAAUCGGUACUGGGAGAGGCCGUCGCCGCUACCGGUCUCGCCGAGGCACUCCCGCGUGAAGCACGACCACGGCUACUACCGAGUCCCGGUAUGGUAGGGGUACUGGCUAUACCGUGCGGACGACCGUCUCGUACCGCGCGUCCAGUCGAAGUAGUGGUGCGGCCAGUUGCGGCGAUCCAACCUCCCGAAGCGGCGACUGCACUUCCGCCGCCCGGACCGCCAAGUCGAGCACCUCGAGGUGAAGGGCCGUCGCCUCAAGCCGGAUGGCCUGCCCACACUCUUGGAGCUGUACUAGGUUAGUUUCUUAAACAAGAACUUGAAGUACUUCCGGACACGGCGCGACGUCCUCGGCGAGUACCGCAUGGAGGAACUCGUCGUCGCGAACGGAGGAUCGACGUAGUAUAGACUGUACCAUGUGACCACCUGGCCACUGUAGCGUUCCCUCGAGCCGUAGGGCUCCGAGUGGAAAUCACCGAAAACACCGAAGAGCAGGGAACAGUCCAUGUUUGUAUUUCUCCGUUUGGAACACUCAUGACCUGUAUAAAAACGACGAUACUAAUUAAUUCAUAAAAUGAAGUCAUCAUCUCCUGUCUAAUGACAUUUAAGGAAGGUCUUUUCUUUUUUUGUAUGUAUAUAUUAUCUCACGUGUUCUAUUAUUUUAGUUGCACACAUGAUGGAAUGCAUUACUUUGUACAUUAAGUUUGACGUAUUCCUUCAUGUCUUUUAUUCGUAAAAAGUAGUCUAUAAACGAUUCGGUCAAUGUCGACCAACUACGCAGUUGCUACAGACGUGAAGUUGCAUAAAAUUUGUUGAUUAUAGUAGAACGUCCGUGUAAUAAUCCCCCAUAAUUCAAGAAAGAUCUAUAUUUCAAAUAAACCAGACACACGUACUUCGUUUUACUUUUGUUCCUCGGAGCCAGCAUGGAGAAACGCAGUCCUUCGGUGACCCAACUAAUCCUACGUAACGCAGCGAGGUCUUUACCUGAGUAUAAAAGGUAUAGUGACCCUCUAGGAAAAUCGAAGAGUGAUUGUUUUGGGACUUUCCUAUGUCUGUUCUUUUAAGGUGGGUGACAGUGUCAUGUGACUUACUGACUUAGAGGUGUGUCUUUUAUUACGUGAUAGUAUAAUAUAGCCGACCGAGCCGGAAGGUGUCGGAACUCUCAUUUCAUCACACGUAUAUGCUGUUCAGUCGUAGUCUGUACUCCUAGUAGGUUUAGGACAUUUUUAUUGAGGAGAAACUCGCACUGUCCGCCAUCGCCACCAAUUAGAUUCGGGAACUACAGACUAGCCUGCCGGACCUGAGGCUACUAAGUCUUGAAUUCUUCUAAGUAGGUGCACCGACUGAGGUGCUCAGGUACUGACUACACUCUCGUACGCAGUGAUCGUUCUCCACUGGCUAAACUAUACGACAACGUAGCAGUCGAGUAGUAGAAAGGAAUCCUUCUGUAUCGUGGUCCUCGAUAUACAUAUGUGAUAUCAACGGUGACGCUGGUAGUAGUCUAACACGGGUUGUGUAGCACGAUAGAACGGCCACAGUGACAGAAGGGUCAAACUGACUGAGGUGGUGGUCAGGAAGACGAUGUUAUCGUCUAGUCGGUACUGGAAGUGGCCGUCGCCGCUACCGGUCUCGCCGAGGCGCUCCCGCGUGAAACACGGCCAUGGCUACAACCGCGUCCCCGUGUGUUAGGGGUACUGGCUGUACCGCGCGGACGACCGUCUCGUGCCGCGCGUCCAAUCGAAGUAGUGGUGUGGUCACUUACGUAGGUCCAACCGUCCGAAACGUCGGCUACACCUCUGCCGCCCGGACCGUCAUGCCGAGCACCUCGAGGUAAAGGGCUCGCGGCUCAAGCCGGAUGGCCUGCCCACACUCUUGGACCUGUACUAGGUUAGGUGCCCAGACGAGAGGUUGAAGUACCUACGGUAGUGACGCGAAGUCCUCGGCGAGUUCCGUAUGGAGGCACUCGUCGUCGCGAGCGGAGGCUCGACGUAGUAUAGGCUGGACUAAGUGACCACCUGACCCCUGUAACGUUCCCUCGAACCAUAGGGCUCCGACUGGAAAUCACCGAAAACACCGAAGAGCAGGGAGUAGUCCAUGUAGUGAAUAGUGUUGUUACAUAAAGUUUUACAGUUUCUGCUUUUACUCGAGUAGUGUUAGUGUCCCAAGGGAUGCGGUGAUCUCGACUGUUUCCGAUUUACGGGACCUUUAAAAACAUAAGGACCAUACCUCGUUUAGGCAUUCUUCAAGGAACUUCUCCUCGACUUUUCACUACCACUCCAUUAAUUGUCGAAGGUCCUCGACCUCUGUAACAUGUAACUUAGGGAACUCGUCUGCUGUUUCUUCUUCCAGACCCGCCAGCCUGGUUACACGGAGACAGUGGCUCUGUUGUUGUGAUACCGGCGUUCUCCUUUGUUCCGCAGUUACCUACUUCGUGUCACGAACGUUACCGAACUAAGUUACUUCGGUCCGAGUCACCAGAAACAGUCGAAACCGUCGGAGCGAACGUGAUGUGGAGUUGUCGAACAUCUCGACCCUGACCCUGAACUUUGGAGGUCCUUUGGCAAAUAAACCCACUAGUUUCGUCCUCGAUUCGAAGGUCUUCAGCUCCUUACCGAGCGUCUGCUCAAGCUCCUCGCACAGUUUUUAUCUCCGUACCAGUAUUCCCCAACCCGUGGUGUCGAGUACUAGGACGUCGUGGUUCGGUAACCUCCUAAGCACUGCGUGACGCCCACCUUGAGUUGUUAUCUCCCGUAGACACGUCCACACGGGUACUAGUGUACCGGCGUGAAACCCCUCGUCAAAAACUUACUCCUCGACGACCACCUACACGACUUUUAGCCCUACCUCCAACCUCACUUUCCUCAAUGUGUCACCCCUUCACUUUUGGUCCUCCAAUACCAAUGUUCUCUACUCCACGUCUUUCGACACUUGUGGGACUACCUACUCCCUCACCGACGUCUUCUCUACUCCCACUCUCGUUUUCUGACGCGGUAAUUCCGUUCCUCCCGAAAGCUACUCCCUCCAAGAAGCAUACUGUUGUAUUCCGAUAAUUAAGUUCUUUACCUUUAGUUCUGCUUACGUACAGCAAGUCACCAACUAUGUCUACCAUUAUUCGAGAGAAAAAACCACAUUUGUAUUUCAUUUUCUCGGAUAUCGCAUAAAUAGUAAUAUUUCCUAAAGAAAAUGUUUGUUGGCCAUCGAACAUAGUCCUAGUGACAGAUAAGACAACGCGUCUAAAGUAUAAAAACCCUUUCCCCUAUAGGGGCUGGAGACGUAGUAUGACUAGGUGUGUCGGUAUAAAUAAUUUUUGUUAGUCUUCAAGCCAUCAAAGUAUUACUA